CUCGAGGCCAGAUCUAGAGUUUGAUCCUGGCUGAGGACGAACGCUGGCGGCGUGCCUAAUACAUGCAAGUCGAGCGAAGUUUUUCUGGUGCUUGCACUAGAAAAACUUAGCGGCGAACGGGUGAGUAACACGUAAAGAACCUGCCUCAUAGACGGGGACAACUAUUGGAAACGAUAGCUAAUACCGGAUAACAGCAUAAAUCGCAUGAUAUAUGUUUAAAAGUUGGUUUCAGCUAACACUAUGAGAUGGCUUUGCGGUGCAUUAGCUAGUUGGUGGGGUAAAGGCCUACCAAGGCGACGAUGCAUAGCCGACCUGAGAGGGUGAUCGGCCACACUGGGACUGAGACACGGCCCAGACUCCUACGGGAGGCAGCAGUAGGGAAUCUUCCGCAAUGGGCGAAAGCCUGACGGAGCAACGCCGCGUGUGUGAAGAAGGAUUUCGGUUCGUAAAGCUCUGUUGUUAGGGAAGAAUGAUUGUAUAGUAACUAUAUACAGUAGAGACGGUACCUAACCAGAAAGCCACGGCUAACUACGUGCCAGCAGCCGCGGUAAUACGUAGGUGGCAAGCGUUGUCCGGAAUUAUUGGGCGUAAA
rnacentral:rRNA from 1 species